GGUUUUAUAUUCAAAAUGAUAUUAGUAUGCAAUACUAAAGGUAUAAAUUGUAAAGUUAUUUAAGACUU
rnacentral:tRNA from 1 species